UGAGUUAUAGUCUAAUGGCAAAACAUCUUCCUUUGGCGAAGAAUUUCCUCGUUCGAAUCGGGGUAACUCAG
rnacentral:tRNA from 2 species